rnacentral:rRNA from 1 species
ACCCGCUGAAUUUAAGCAUAUAACUAAGCGGAGGAAAAGAAACCAACUCGGAUUCCCCUAGUAACGGCGAGUGAAGCGGGAAGAGCUCAUGUUGUAAAUCUGGAUGAGGGUUCCUCGUCCCGAAUUGUAGUCUAGAGAUGCGUGCUCAGCUACUCUCCAGGGCUAAGUCUGUUUGUGAAAGACAGUGUCAUGGACGGUGAUAACCCGGUUCUUGCCUUGGAUGUUGUAGCGUUUUGAGCCGUCCUCAACGAGUCGAGUUGCUUGGGAUUGCAGCUCUAAGUGGGUGGUAAAUUCCAUCUAAAGCUAAAUAUUGGUGGGAGACCGAUAGCGAACAAGUACCGUGAGGGAAAGAUGAAAAGAACUUUGAAAAGAGAGUUAAAUAGUACCUGAAACUGCUGAAAGGGAAGCGAAUGAAGUCAGUGUUGCUCUUUGUGCUCUGCAUCCUCCCUGCGGGGAUUGUGUAUCGAGGACUUUGAGCUUGUCAGGAUGAGUUCUCUGCCGCGGGAUAUGUUUUGUAUGCUGGAUGCUUUUUGCGGAACAUACAUUCUCUGUCGUGGCUUGGACUGAGGUUCCAUCUUGCCGUUGCCUGUGCGUUCCUCUCCCGUUGCUGUCUCUGUUCUACUGCUUGCAGUGCUCAGUUGCAGUAGUUGGACUGUGCGUAUUAUGCAUGCAAGGUCAGGAUCCUGACGAAAUGGCUUUAUUUACCCCGUCUUGAAACACGGACCAAGGAGUCUAACAUACGUGCGAGUACUUUGGUGACAAACCAAUGUGCGCAAUGAAAGUAAAGGCUGGCUUCCGUCAGCUCAGGUGGGAUCCGUUUGGAGCACCAUCGACCGACCAUUAUGCCUUCGGGCUAAAGGUUUGAGUGUGAGCAUUUAUGUUGGGACCCGAAAGAUGGUGAACUAUGCCUGAAUAGGGCGAAGCCAGGGGAAACUCUGGUGGAGGCUCGUAGCGAUUCUGACGUGCAAAUCGAUCGUCAAA